rnacentral:rRNA from 1 species
UACGUAGGGUGCGAGCGUUAAUCGGAAUUACCGGGCCUAAAGGGUGCGUAGGCCGGCCCGCAAGUGACUUGUGAAAUCCCCCGGCUCAACCGGGGAACAGCUCGUCAUACUGCGGGUCUUGAGGAAGGUAGGGGUUGCCAGAACUGUAGGUGGAGCGGUGAAAUGCGUAGAUAUCUACAGGAAUGCCGAUGGUGAAGACGGGCAACUGGGCCUUUCCUGACGCUGAGGCACGAAAGCGUGGGGAGCAAACAGG